rnacentral:lncRNA from 1 species
GAUUAAAGUCUUUAAGGAGUUCAGAGAGUGAGCCUUGCUGAUUUAAGGAGGAAGAGUGCAAAGGCCCCGAGGUCACAGCACGUAUGGUCUCCACUUAAGGAUGAGCCAGGAGGUUGGUAUGUUUGGAGAAGGGGAGAUGGGAAGCCAAGGUGAGAGACGUGAGGAGAGCCAGGUCACAGAGGGCCUUGGAAGCCAGUGUCACACCUGAGUGAGAUGGGAAAUAGAUUGGAAGGUUCUGAGAACAGAGUAGCCUGCUCUGGCUCAUCUCAUAAUGAGGUCACUCUGGCUGCUGCGUUGGGAGUAGGGGGUAAAAGUGGAAGCAAACAGACCACUAGAAGGGCUACUGCAGGAAUCCAGCACUGCAAUGAAUGCUGCUGCACACGCUGUUGAGCUCGUGGACACUUUCCUGCUGGGUGAGGACCCGAACGUGAAAUUGCUGGGUCAUGGAUUCAAGUGCUACACAUAUUUUUGACCACAUUACUGUGACUCAGGAAGCCCAGGAACAGAAUUCUAGGCACCAGAACCAUACAUGUUACAGCCUCUGAGCUUUAUGGCCUCUGAGCCAUUUGUCCAGCCACAUCAUUUGCAGAUGAGAUCCUGAGACUCAGGCUGGAAAAGUGACCGGGGAAAAGUCACACAAGUCAGAGGCAGAGCUGGAGUUUCCUCAUUUCCAGGCCCGUAUAGAUCAAGACGGACGUUGGUCAAACACCUCCUAGUACUCACAUGAAGAAGCUCUCCUUUCUGCUGUAGGAAUGAUCACACACCAUUCCAAUCUGGAUACCAAAUGUCAUUGUUUAUUAAAUGUGUGCAGUGUGCCAGGCAUAUUGUGUCAUAUGUUUACAUGUGUCAUAUAUUUACAUUACAUAUGAUCGCUGGUUCUUACAACAACCCUUCAAGACAGGUCAUAUCAAGCCCAUUUUUCAGACGGGAAAAAGAGCUCAGAGGGGAUGAUUAGCUUGUUCAGGUUUUCCAGUUUCCUUAGGAAGUGGCAGAGCUGGAUCUGAACUCUGCUUGUGACUACUUGGGGGAUGGAGGAGUGAACUCCUUUUUAUCAGAUCCUGGCUGCUUCGGCACCAGAAGAAUGCUUCUUCCCCCUCAGGCCCUGGGGGGUUCCUCUAAAGAAUAGAGACUCCCGGCUUUCCAUGAGACAAAAAGCAGGCAAUUCAACACGGCAAGCCCUUAAUAUACCUGCACGUUUCUCUGUAAGGACUGAUUUAGAAAGCGGACUCACAGCCACUGCACUGAUAGCAGUUUCUAUUCUAAAACCUAUGGAAAUUGUGAACACUUGCCCCCAAAAACUCUCCCAGAAACCUUUAGGACAGUGAGGCUGUGUUCAGAAACUAAUUGCACCCAUAUCUGAGGAGCUACCACAUGAACUUCAUUAUUCACAGAA